rnacentral:rRNA from 1 species
UACGUAGGGUGCGAGCGUUAAUCGGAAUUACUGGGCGUAAAGCGUGCGCAGGCGGUUUUGUAAGUCAGAUGCGAAAUCCCCGGGCUUAACCGGGGAACUGCGUCUGAUACUGGAUGGCUUGAGUUCGGGAGAGGGAUGCGGAAUUCCAGGUGUAGCGGUGAAAUGCGUAGAUAUCUGGAGGAACACCGGUGGCGAAGGCGGCAUCCUGGACCGACACUGACGCUGAGGAGCGAAAGCCAGGGGAGCAAACGGG